CUCAACAGAUUUUCCAGAAUGGUUGGGCUCUUGCUUCUCUUCACCAUCCUCAGUUUUGCUGGUCCAAGCGUCCAGCAGUUGCAGAGCUUGAAGGACCCAGAAUCGGUGGCCCAAGGAGGGACUAUCACCCUGUUUUGCAAAUAUAAUAGUGGAAACAUUGUGAACGGCAACUACCCAUGGUGGGCCCAGCAGAUCCCUGGAAGUAGACCUCACCUAGUGAUGCAUCACACCAGCACCCGACCCUCAGAUGUCCCAGCCCGUUUUUCAGGUUCUAGAUCGGGCAAUGUGAUGUCCUUGACCAUCACGGGGGUGCAGGAGGAAGACGAAGCUGUGUAUUACUGUGCUGUGGUGACAGAGAUUGGGUGCCACAGUUGUUGACUCAGAUGGGGAAGUGAGACCGAAACAUAACUGCCUUGGUUUUGUUCAGCAUCCCCUAUCUGGCCUACACUCUGUUUUUAACUGAAUUGAGGCAGCCUUCGUCAAAAGCAGAUGGAGAUACUGAGCAGCAUUAGAACCCCGAGAAAGCUUCUAUCAUUUUUGUGAGGUAAAUUCCACCAAGAAAUUCCUUCUACGCUGUAGGUGAUAUUUCAGAGGAAGGAACUGACAGUAUCACCUCUGAGCAUUCCUUGAGUGAAAAAGCCUCAUGAGAUUCAUUGGGUCACCAUAAGUUGACAGGCAACGUGAAGGCACACAUAUACACAAUUUGUUAAAAUUCCUUCUUUCUCACCCAUCCCAAGCCAAAGAUUGACUAGAUCAUUUCGAAUGUGAACUUGAAACAUCUUGUCUCCAAAAGGAGGGCAGCACAAUGAGGAGAGUCAACACGUUUGAGAACUCACCAUGGUCUGGACCAGAGGUCCUCAAACUUUUUAAGGAGAGAGCCAGUUCACAGUCCCUCAGACUGUUGGCGGGCAGUUUGAUCUGAUUCUAACUGCUGUUGAAGUCUUAAAAUUGUCUUCUCAAGGUGUCCACUCUCUCUCCUGAAGCCAAGGGACCUUGAUGUGAUCCUUUGUCCUACUAUGGAUAUCUUGAGAACCAAUAAUUACUGUCACUGAAGAUUAUGUGGUUUUUAUUUGGACACAAAGAACUUUGAAUCCUACAAAAUUGCACUGAAGGACCUAGAAAAUGCCUGGAGAAAUGCUCUUAGGACUCCAGUGUGAUUGAAGAACUUCUACAGGAUGUUCUGAUGGACGUUGACUGUAGAAUUGUGUUCUCCUGGGUGAUUCUAUGGUACGCUUUGGCCCAAAUAUUCAGAGUUCCAGAUUAUGCCAAAAACGUAUUAUGCAAUGGAUCCCGGAACGGAUCCCUCACAUAAGACAAGGACCUACUUAUUGAUUGGAGAUGAUGAAUGAGCUUCUAACCAAGUUAGAAUAUUUGUGUAUAUCCAUUAAUAUAUCAAUAUAGCACUGGCUAGCUAGAUAACUAUGCACCUCAGCAAUGGGAAGGAAUAAAUUAGAAGCUCAAGAACUCUUUGGUAGUCUUCAGUCCACCACAGGAGUAUGUUUUAAAAACAAUCAGAAAUCCC